rnacentral:rRNA from 1 species
AGUCGAACGGGCCGCAAGGCCAGUGGCGGAAGGGUGAGUAAGGCGACGGUAACCAGCCCCAUGGUUGGGUAUAGCCGCGGGAAACUGCGGGUAAUCCCCAGCGACGUCCGCGUCGGACAUCCGAUGCGGACCAAAGCCCUGGCGCCGUGGGACGGGCCGUCGUGGUAUUAGGUCGUUGGCGGGGUAACGGCCCACCAAGCCUAUGAUGCCUACCGGGCGUGCGAGCGCGACCCGGCACACUGGGACUGAGACACUGCCCAGACUCCUACGGGAGGCUGCAGUCGAGAAUCUUCGGCAAUGGGCGCAAGCCUGACCGAGCGACGCCGCGUGGAGGAUGAAGGCCUUCGGGUUGUAAACUCCUGUCGAGGGGGAGGAAGGUCGGGCAACCGGCUUGACCGAUCCCUGGAGGAAGCACGGGCUAAGUUCGUGCCAGCAGCCGCGGUAAGACGAACCGUGCGAACGUUAUUCGGAAUCACUGGGCUUAAAGCGCGUGUANGCGGAUGGGAACGUCGGUCGCUGAAAUCCCCCGGCUCAACCGGGGAACGGGCACCGAAACG